rnacentral:other from 1 species
UCAAUCCUGAUGUGUACGUCUAGGUAAAAUGUUUUGACCGAACAUUUAAAUGAUUGGGAGCCUAAUCGUUUUUAUAUUGCGUGCAUGCCUCAUACACAGAGGAAGUACAACACAUAUAAAACAGGGCACCCACCUGCUGCGAGCGGGAUCAAAACUAUCAAAUAGACGGCACUAUUGGGAUUGAC